rnacentral:rRNA from 1 species
GUAGGUGGCAAGCGUUGUCCGGAAUUAUUGGGCGUAAAGCGCGCGCAGGCGGUCCUUUAAGUCUGAUGUGAAAGCCCACGGCUCAACCGUGGAGGGUCAUUGGAAACUGGGGGACUUGAGUACAGAAGAGAAAAGCGGAAUUCCAAGUGUAGCGGUGAAAUGCGUAGAGAUUUGGAGGAACACCAGUGGCGAAGGCGGCUUUCUGGUCUGUAACUGACGCUGAGGCGCGAAAGCGUGGGGAGCAAACAGGAUUAGAUACCCUGGUAGUCCACGCCGUAAACGAUGAGUGCUAAGUGUUAGGGGGUUUCCCGCCCCCCUUAGUGCUGCAGCUAACGCAUUAAGCACUCCGCCUGGGGGAGUACGGCCCGCAAGGCUG